rnacentral:rRNA from 1 species
ACGGGAGGCAGCAGUGGGGAAUAUUGGGCAAUGGGCGAAAGCCUGACCCAGCGACGCCGCGUGAGGGAAGAAGGUCUUCGGAUUGUAAACCUUAAUAGCAGGGAAGAAAAGAAUGACGGUACCUGUGGAGAAGCCACGGCUAACUACGUGCCAGCAGCCGCGGUAAUACGUAGGUGGCAAGCGUUAUCCGGAUUUACUGGGUGUAAAGGGUGUGUAGGCGGGAUGUCAAGUCAGAUGUGAAAUGUACGGGCUCAACCCGUGAAUUGCAUUUGAAACUGACGUUCUUGAGUGUCGGAGGGGUAAAUGGAAUUCCCGGUGUAGCGGUGAAAUGCUUAGAUAUCGGGAGGAACAUCGGUGGCGAAGGCGAUUUACUGGACGACAACUGACGCUGAAACACGAAAGCGUGGGGAGCAAACAGGAUUAGAUACCCUGGUA